rnacentral:rRNA from 1 species
UAAGGAAUAUUGGUCAAUGGAGGGAACUCUGAACCAGCCAUGCCGCGUGAAGGAUGACGGCCCUCUGGGUUGUAAACUUCUUUUGGAUGGGGCGAAAAAACGGGAUUUAUCCUGGACUGACGGUACCAUCAGAAUAAGCACCGGCUAACUCCGUGCCAGCAGCCGCGGUAAUACGGAGGGUGCAAGCGUUAUCCGGAAUCACUGGGUUUAAAGGGUGCGUAGGCGGUUGUAUAAGUCAGGGGUGAAAGCACGCAGCUUAACUGUGUAAUUGCCUUUGAUACUGUACGGCUUGAAUAGGGUUGAGGUUGGCGGAAUGUGACAUGUAGCGGUGAAAUGCAUAGAUAUGUCAUAGAACACCGAUUGCGAAGGCAGCUGACUGGGCCUAUAUUGACACUGACGCUC